GCAGCGGCAGCGGCAGCGGCACCGGCACGGAAUAUACUUUUAAAUGGAGCAAGGAGCAAACGGAAGAGUUCAUUAAACUCCGUGGUCAAAACGACCAUCUGUUUACGGGGGCCAAAAACACUGCCACACUUGGAUGGAGAACAAUCCUGCAAAAAAUGGGCCUGGAGGGAAAGGUGGAGCCCCAGCAGGCCAAAAAAAAGUGGGACAACUUAAAAAAAAAAUACAAAGUAUGUGCAGGUUUGGAUAAUGAUAUGGAAACUACAUUUGUUUUACCUAAGUUAAUAAAUACUUUGAUAAAGAAACGUAGAAAAAACCUCCAAGGCACCCUCCCAAAGUUGUUAAAAUGCCUUUAUUCUCGUGGCAUGGUCAUAUAAACCUUAAAACCACAGUCCUUCGACGCGUUUCAGCAUCAAGCCUUCAUCAGGAAGUCAAACAAAUUAAUUUUCUUCGUUCUCUUUUCUUCGUUUCUUUAUCACUACAUGAAUUGCAUUGCAAAGAGCACCUCAAACAUAUUUCUUUUUGAGUCCAUGAAACACUCCUUUUUCAAGACUUUUUAAAUAAAUACUUUAAAGAAAA